GUACAACCUUAUGUGCUUUGAGGAGCUACAUGUUUUGUUUUGCUUUACCCAACUUCUUCACUGUUCAUCACAGCUUUCUAUCUCUUUUCUUUCUCAAUUAAACACUCAAUCUCUCUCUCUCUUUCUCUCUCUCUCUCUCUCUCUUUCUCUCUCUCUCUCUCCUGUCCCCCUUUCCCUCUCAUCACCAUCUUUCUUUCUUACACAUUUGUCAUGAAUAUAAUGUAUAUGAACCCUAAGGAAUCAAUCGAUUCAUGAUUCAGUUUAGUCUCAGUGUGUUGCAAAACUAAUGAAUCGGGUUUCAGAAAUACCUAGAAGCUGAUGAUUAUGGAGUUCUAGAUUUUAUUAAACUAAUAUCGAUCAUUCUGCUCAGUCUAAGGCUCCGUCUCUCUCUCUCUCUCUCUCUCUCUCUCUCUCUCUCUCUCUCUCUCUCUCUCUCUCUCUCUCUCUCUCUCUCUCUCUCUCAGCUUAUUUUUGUUUCCUUUAUGCGGUGGGAUAACAUGGAAUAGUGGGGUGGAGCUCAACACCGUACGAUUGUCACCGUUGACAUCCGAGUUGGUUUGUAAUUUUGAAAGAUCUGAGGACUAGUUUCUUUUUCUUUUUUAAGAUAGAGGGAGAGAGAGAUGCAUAGUCAUGUGAGAUAUGCCUCGCCGCUGACGGUGGUGGUUGUUGUGAAGCUAGCGGCGACGAUUGGUUUGCCUUACAGGUUUUUAGUAUAAUAUUGCUGGCGAUUCAGUCUAGAAACUGGUUACGUACUGGGUUGCGACUGCGAAAAGAAGAAAAGAUGAUUCCGGUCAGAAAUCGUGCUACGAAGGGAUCUGAAAAGGGCCUAAGAGUAUGUGGUUUGUAUUUUAGUUUUUGUUCAUGUUUUCUCAUAAACUUAGUUUUCAUCUGCAGGGCUUGUUAUAGAAUAAAAUACACAAAUUCAUCUUUGGCUCAAUGGUUGCAGUAGUUGAUUUGAUAGACGGCUGUGCCUUGUUCGAAUCCCCCUGACAUCUCAAAUUUAUUUAUUUAUUUGGGAUUCUCCAACUUUUUUUUUUUGGCCUCAAGGGGCUUAUCUCAGUUUCUUUUAUCAAUAGGGGGAAAUGCUUUAUAUGCUCACACCAAUAGCAACUUUGCAAGCUUAUUUUUAGUUUUAAUUUUGAUUUUUAAUAUCUAAAUUUGGGUCUUCGUAAAUUUAUAAAUUUAUAAGUUCUUUCAUUUUUUUUCUUCUCAUUUAACCAUUUACAUAACAAACUUUACAUGUUUUCUUUUUUAAAGUUGUAGGUUUUUUAUUUCUCAUUUAAUCAUUUACAAUAUAAACUUAAAAGAACUUAAUAUCCAGUUAUAUUUAUUUUAUUUAUACGAAAAGGUUCAUGUUACCAAACUAAUUUGGAUAUUUUUACACAUAUUUUUGUUAUUUUGCUACACUACUUUGUUUUGUUUAUUUUAUAACAAUUAUCGUCGUAUUGUGGCUUUUUGAUCUCUGAUUGAUGAGUUUAUAUUAUAAGGAGGGGACCCAAUCUUUUUGUCUCGCACAAGGCCCGAAAGUUUUUUAUCAUUCUCGGAGACGGUCUUGGAACUCAUGAAGUCGAAUAAGAAUCCUCCCAAAUAUAUGAAACAGUGAAAUAAGAAACAUAGAAAAAAGAGUAAACUGCCAAAAUCGUCCCUGAGGUUUGGGUAUGUUUGUCAAUUUCAUCCAAGACAAUUUUUUUUUACCAUAUAGUCCUUCACUUUUGGGAUUGUUUGCCACUUUCAUCCAAAAGUAUGAUUUUUUUGCCAAAAUCGUCCCUGGGAUUUGAGAUUUUUUGUCAUUUUCAUCCAAAUGUUUAAUAGAAAAAAUAAAGCAAAUUAGAUGUUUGGAUGAAAAUGGCAAAAAAUUUCAAAGGUGUAUGACUAUAUUGUACAAAAAAGUUGUUUUGAAUGAAAAUGACAAAUAUGCCCAAACCUUAGAAACGAUUUUGGCAAUUUACUCUAAAAAAAUAAACAAACAUUAGAAGUAUAAAGACUUCUUAUCUAUUGCAAUGUAAGACUUGUUUAUAACUAACAAAAAGUAUAACAUAAAAUUAAAAUUUGGAGUUCGUUUGGUACGAACUGAUUUAAUUGUUCAAAAAUACAUCAUACAUUAUUAGCUAGUUAAAAAUAAAGAAAACAAAAAAUAUAACUUUUCGUUAUAAGGUUCUUUUAUUUUGUCUUUCGUCGAUUAAAUCUUUAUAGCGUGUUUUUUUUUAAGCAACCUAUUAUACUUUUUGUUAUUUAUAAACAAGAAGUCUUUAUACUUCUAUGUGAGGGUGUGUAUGGGUCGGUUUUGACCUAAAACCAUAACCAUAACCGCGAUGCUGGUUAAUGAAUAACCAUAACCAAUCGAUUAUGGUGGUUAUGGUUAUUCGGUUUUAAUGGUUUAGCAGGUCGGUUAUGGGUGGUUAACCGUGUUUUUAUCUUAGCUAAAAUUAGCUUAAUUUUUUAACAUGGAAUAAAUUGUUAUUGCAUAUUUGUAUAUAUUAGUAUAUUACAUAGUAUAAAAAAUACAUAUAAUCUAUAAUAUUAAUACCAAUUAUUAUCGAAUACUAAAAUAAAGUGAUAUGAUACAUUCCAUAAAUUCAAAUAAACAUCCAACUAAAACCACAAAACGAUAUGAAAAACCUAUAAAUACUGAAAAUAUUCAAUAAACAACAUCAAAUAUUAAAAACAUGGUGAAAUGUCCCAAAUCCUACAAAAAAUUAUUACAUGUCGGUUCGGUUAUGGUGGGUAUGGAAAAAAUGAUAACCAUAACCGACCUGCUACUUUCGGUUUUCAAAAAACAAUUAACCGACCCACCGGUUUUUUAUUUGGUUUAGUUUUUUCGGUUCGGUUUUGUCUGUUAAUUCGGUUAUGGUUCGGUUAAUUCGGUUUUUUGUACACCCCUACUUCUAUGUUUGUUUAGUUUUUUUUUUGUUUGUUACUUAUUUUACCAUCUAUCUAUCUAUACUUUCUAUAAAAGUAGAAAACCAAGUGACAUAAGAAAAGUUGAGGUGGCAGCUAUAGAGGCUGUCUAACAAGGCUUUUAAUUUCUUAUGUCAUUAUCGCAUCAUAAUCCUUAAUAUAUAAAAUCACUUUAAUUUUCAAAGGUCUGACCCACAUCUACAAAAUCACUUUAAACAUCUGCCCACAUACAAAAGGUCUGUUGUUCAACAGAAACGCUUCAAACCUCUGCCCAUAUUCAAAAUUUAAAAUCCUGGCUCCAAAUUCAAAAUUCAAACUACAUAUGAAUCUGGUUACCUAUAAAUAACAUAUAUGAAUUUUGCUCCACAUUCAAAUUUCAAUUUAUCUAUCUCACUCAUAUUUGCGAUCAUGUCUCUCUCACUCAAAUGCAUAGCUCUCAUGAUUGAUCCGGUUAAUCUUAGAUUACAGUUCUUUGUUCGAACAUUUGUUGACUCUGUUUACACAUUAUCCUUUCAAUAUCAUUGUUCCAACAUCGUUGUUUUAUUGAAGCUCUGUUUCACACACCAACGUUUCACCUCAGCUUUUCUUAUGUCACUUGGUUUUCUCUUUUUAUAGAAAGUAUAGAUAGAUUGUUAAAGGAUGCAGAAUUUGCAUAUUCAGUCUGUUCAUCUGCGGUGACAGCUUUUUGUACUUCACGUAAUUUUUCCAACACCAUUGUUGCAACAUCGUUGAGGGUAUGUUUUUUUUCUCUAAUUUCCAACAUCAUUGUUGCAACAUCGCUUUAUAUUUCAGCCUAAUCAGAGUUGUUUAAAAUUCAAGCAAUCAGUUGCUGGUUAUUUUAGGUUUGUGGAUUCUUUUAAACUGUUGAUAUAUGUUGAUAAUAAUUAUUUUAAGGUGUUGAUAUAUUUCAGCUUUGUUUUUUCUGACCGAGCAGUGGGAAGUUCUUCUGCACUGUUCUUGAAGUCUGAAGUGCAGAAAGUGGAGUACUUCACGAAGCCUGUUCUUGAAGUCUGAAGUGUAGAAAGUGGAGUACUUCAUGAAGCGCUGAUGCUGUUCUAGGUUUUCUUGUAUUUAUUAUCACUGAUGAUGUCGAUUUUAUAUAUUAGUUCUUCAAUCAACCUAAUCAUCAGCCUUUUAUUGUGUUUAAAAUGCAUCUUUAUGAUAAAUGAAGAAGUUAAUGGUAAUUAUGAUAGUCUGUUUUUUUAUUUUUUUUGUUCUUUCUGUUUCUUGAUAUUUAACUUUUUAGUUUUCCUAUGAAAACUUAUUUUUGAAAGGCUUUGCAUUAAAUGACUGCUAUUUUGUAUUAAAUGUACACGUUUUUGCCUCCUAGAUUAGUUUAAUGGUGGGGUUAAAUUAAGUCUGACCUUUGGGCUGUUAGCUAUUUCACUAUAUAGUAUGAUUGUCAGUUCGGUCGUUUUUCAUCACGUUUUACUACCAUUAUAUCCUUCUUUUACAUCAGGCUUGAAGAAA